AGUGAGAUUUUUUUUGUUUUUAAGAAAUGAUUAUGAUCUAAAAACAAAAACACAUCCACAAAAAUGUUUCGCAAUCAUUGCUUUUGAAGGAUUCACUCUGGACAGAACCUUUCAAGGAUAUAACCAGUGAAAUCACUAGGCUUCAAGUGUGAUCCUUUUCAGGUCAUAAUAGGAGGGGGGUCAACAGUGGAUGAGUUUCCUCUAAAUGUGGCAAAACCUGGUUCAUAAACUUUCUGCCAUUUAUAGUCCAUGAGUUGUGGACACCUGGUUCCCUUAUCAGGCUUGGGAGAGAGUACAUCCAGAGGACAGACUGAGUACAAAACAAACAAAUAAGGACAUAGACACAGAAGGUUACAAACAAAAACUACCUUCAAGCAGAAGUGACCCUCAUCUGCAGAGAAGAAUUCCAUUUAUGAACUCAAGGAAGAACUUCAAAUAACCAGGUUGGCCAGAAAGGAAAAAUGCAGUGACAGGCUGGCUA
rnacentral:lncRNA from 1 species